rnacentral:rRNA from 1 species
GACGAACGCUGGCGGCGUGCUUAACACAUGCAAGUCGAACGGAAAGGCCCUGCUUUUGUGGGGUGCUCGAGUGGCGAACGGGUGAGUAACACGUGAGUAACCUGCCCUUGACUUUGGGAUAACUUCAGGAAACUGGGGCUCAUAUACCAUAUGAGCUCCUGCUGCACGGUGGGGGUUGGAAAGUUUCGGCGGUUGGGGAUGGACUCGCGGCUUAUCAGCUUGUUGGUGGGGUAGUGGCUUACCAAGGCAUUGACGGGUAGCCGGCCUGAGAGGGUGACCGGCCACAUUGGGACUGAGAUACGGCCCAGACGCAUACGGGAGGCAGCAGUGGGGAAUAUUGCACAAUGGGCGGAAGCCUGAUGCAGCAACGCCGCGUGCUGGAUGACGGCCUUCGGGUUGUAAACCGUGUUCGCCUGGGACGAAGCGUGAGUGACGGUAAUGUGUAAAGAAGCACCGGCUAACUACGUG